AUUUAGCCAAAACUAAGUAAGACAAUUGCCAAAGGGUGGGAGUAAGUAGAGAUAUUGUGAAAUUUUAUUCUGCAAAGCUGAUCCUAAGCCUACUAAAGCAACCCCUGCUGGCUUCUGGGCCUUCGUUGGGAACAUCAGAAGGACACUCCUUUCAGGGUAAUGCACACCCUGAACGCAGGAAUGAGGAACAGAGGAAAAGAGAAAUAAAUGAACCCAAUUCUAUCACCUAAUAAGACUUGGAACUAGGAAAAAUCUUGGCUCCGGUUUGCUGUGAAGUUGAAACAGAUUUUUUUGCUCCGUUCAUACUGAAAAGCACACCUGCACAACCUUCUCUUUCCUGACUCGAAGAGUGCCUUUCAAACAAUCCAGGGGAAAGACAGCCCUCGAUGAUGUAACGUCAUCUUGAUUCCCUUUUCAGCAAAAAUCUCAACCUAUUUCCAUGCAUCAGGUUCCAGUCUGUCAAGACUCUGAAAAUGAUACGGACAGCGUCAAAAUGAUGACGUCUGGACCUGGUACAGGUGUGACGUUGGGUGGGCAAAUGACCACUGCCUUUUGGCACCCCCGGCUCAUCCCCACGAUCCAGCAACUCAAGAGUUAACACAAGCUCCAGCAGGAUCCGCCAAGACUGGCUGAUGUCCAUUGGAACGAUUGAAGGACUGAACGUGAUGAAGAUCAAACCCAAUUCCAGGCAAGCAAAAGGGUUUCACUUCCUAGGGAGAAAUGUGCAGCCCAUUUGCCCACCAGCCCCUCAGAUAGGCCAGGAGUUUUGCCCACGACCAGCAGGCGAUCAUACUGAGGGGAGUUCCGAGAAAGCAUCAGAACCCGUCCGCUACUAAGAGGUUGCUGACAGUGUGCCCCCCGGAGAUUGUAUUCUUCCAUCUGCUGCCAUAUUGCUGGGACCACCACCACUUGCUCUGUCUGGAGGAAAUUCCAUGUUAUUAUCUCAACCCCAGUGGUUCUCAAACUUGAACCUUCAUCAGAGUCACAUGGAGGGUUUGUUAAAACACAGACUUGUGGACUUCACCCCUAGACCUUCAGGCUCCAUGGCUGUCGGAUAGGCCCUGAGAAUUUGCAUUUCUGACGAGCUCCCAGACGAUAUUGAUGCCGCUGGUCUGCCUGUCCACCACGUUCUGAAGACCACUGCUGUAAAGCCUGUUUUCUCCAGUGCCUACCACUCUGGGGUGUUCUCGGGUCAAGAAGACGUUGAACCUGGUGAACAAGUCGGGAGACAAAGCCCUGUUAAGGGUCUCAGAGUAAGCUCACUGAGUCUCUAGGGAAUAGGGGACAGAGUAAGAUUUUAGCCCUGCAAUUUGCCUGGGGCAGAAUGUAUGACGUUUGUUAGCUCAUCCUACUGAAGCUGCCCUCUGGUGCGCUGUGGACAAGGUGAUUUCUGUGCCAUACGUCAUGUACAGAGAUUCCCCUGGUUUCUGAGAAAGAAGUUGCACUAAGGAAAGAAGAUAUGAUGGCAAAGAAAGCUGUCAUUUUAUACCCCACCGGCUUCACUGAGACAACAGAUGUCCUUUUAGAAAAGGAAGAGGCAUUGAUGCAGCAUCUACCGAGUGAGGGACUGUGGUAAGUACUCCACACAUAUCACUUUCUGCCAUGUAAAAAAAUCUGCAAGGUCUGUAUUAUUUUCAUUUUGUAAAUGAGGAAACUGAGGCUCAGAUACAUUAAGAAACAUGCUCAGAACCACAAAGCUAGUAAUUGGCAGAAGCAGGAUUUAAAAACAUUCUUAUCCCAAAUCUGUGUUCUCUUGAUUUGCCAUUGGAAAUUCAGAGAUAUUUAUAAAAACAUGCAGUUUUUAAAAUAAGAUAUUACUUCUUAAUUUAAUUUAAUUUAAAAGUAAGGGCCAAGAAGGUACAGGCACGACUAUGUGGGAAUUAUAGAUACAAGGGUAAAGAACACAAAAUGUGCUAAAUCCGGACAUCUAGAGAUAUGGACGUUGAUCUGAUUGGCUGUUAAGGUUUCUUCCUUCCUCUGCCCACUUUGGUGGUUUUCUCAGUAAGAGUUCAGAAAAACUAAGAUGCAGAGGGACGACCUGGUGAAUUUUUCAUGUGAAGUGUUUUUUCAUGGAC
rnacentral:lncRNA from 1 species